rnacentral:rRNA from 1 species
UACGUAGGGGGCAAGCGUUAUCCGGAUUUACUGGGUGUAAAGGGAGCGUAGACGGCUGUGCAAGUCUGAAGUGAAAGGCAGGGGCUCAACCCUUGGACUGCUUUGGAAACUGUGCAGCUUGAGUGUCGGAGAGGCAAGUGGAAUUCCUAGUGUAGCGGUGAAAUGCGUAGAUAUUGGGAGGAACACCAGUGGCGGAGGCGGCUUGCUGGACGAUGACUGACGUUGAGGCUCGAAAGUGUGGGUAUCAA